UACGUAGGGGGCAAGCGUUGUCCGGAAUUAUUGGGCGUAAAGGGCUCGUAGGCGGUUUGUCGCGUCGGGAGUGAAAACUCAGGGCUUAACCCUGAGCCUGCUUCCGAUACGGGCAGACUAGAGGUAUGCAGGGGAGAACGGAAUUCCUGGUGUAGCGGUGAAAUGCGCAGAUAUCAGGAGGAACACCGGUGGCGAAGGCGGUUCUCUGGGCAUUACCUGACGCUGAGGAGCGAAAGUGUGGGGAGCGAACAGG
rnacentral:rRNA from 1 species